GAAAAAGUGUGAGAUUUCAAGGAAUUAAGCUAAUAAAGGUGGUGAAUCCUCUGAUAAAAGUAAGGGAAUUGCACCCGAGGACCAGUAAUCUGAGUACUUCAAAAAUUCCCAUUCUAGACAUUGUUCAGAUUAAACUGUAGAUAGUUGAUCUCAUCGAGGACUA